GUAACACGGAGACCUCCGUGCUACCAAGUUGUUUUCAAUGAUGCCGCUUCCAAAUCGAUGAUCGGCUCCAUUAGACUUGAUCUACACUAUUGAAAAUAUUUGGAACUAAAUUUCAUAAUUUUUCGGUAUCAUUACUUAUCAAACGAGUAGUCUAAAAAUAAACGGUUGAAAAUAAAAAUUUCAUAAAAAAUAAUGAUAGAAGAUUUGAAUUUAAGAUCAGAGGUACUGAUCUUACUCUAAAUAGUAAAAAGUAUUUUCUAUAAAAAUUUCAUCUGAUUUGGAUUGUUUUACACUGUUAAAUUUACAAAUGCAUCACAUCUACCGUUAAAUUUACAAAUGCAUCACAUCUACCAUUAAAAUUAUCAAUUUUGAGACCUUUUGAUCACUAGCCAAAUGAUGUAAAAAAAUUAUAAAAUUUAGUUUUCAAAUAUUUUUAAUAGUGUAGAUCAAGUCUAACGGAGCCGAUCGUUGAUUUGGAAGCCGCAUAAUUGAAAAUAAAUAACUUGGUAGCUCAUAUAUAUAUAUAGAGUGGGUUGUGUGUGCUAUUAGGAGCACGGAGGCCUCCGUGCUCCUAAGCUGUUUUCGAUGAUAAAAUUUCCAAAUCGACGAUCGGCUCCGUUAGACUUGAUCUAGCGUAUUUGAACUAUCUAGGAAAUAAUUUUUGUGAUUUUUCAGUAUCAUUUUUCUAGCGAUCGAAAGGGUUCAAAAUCAACAAUAUUUAAUAGUUGAUAUAUAUCGUUUGCAAGUUUAACGGUGUAGAAGUAUUCAAAUCAGAUGAAAUUUUGAUAGAAAAUUCUUUAUACUAUUUACAGCAAGAUCAAUAUGUUUGAUCGAAAAUUUUAAUGCUAUAUCACCACUUUUAGUGAGAUUUUUAUUUUCAACCAUUGAUUUUGAACCCUUUCAAUCGUUAGGUAAAUGAUAUCGAAUAGUCACAAAAUUUAUUUUCUAGAUACUUCAAAUAUGCUAGAUCAAGUCUAACGGAGCCGAUUGUCGAUUCAGAAGCUCUAUCAUUGAAAACAGCUUAGGAGCAUGGAGGCCUCCGUGCUCCUAAUAGCACACAAGACCUACUCUCUCUCUCUCUCUCUCUCUCUCUCUCUCUCUC
rnacentral:lncRNA from 1 species